rnacentral:rRNA from 1 species
GACGAACGCUGGCGGCGUGCUUAACACAUGCAAGUCGAGCGGAAAGGCCCUUCGGGGUACUCGAGCGGCGAACGGGUGAGUAACACGUGAGUAAUCUGCCCUUGGCUUUGGGAUAACUACCGGAAACGGUGGCUAAUACCGGAUACGACAACCGUCUGCAUGGGCUGGUUGUGGAAAGUUUUUUCGGCCAGGGAUGUGCUCGCGGCCUAUCAGCUUGUUGGUGGGGUAAUGGCCUACCAAGGCUUCGACGGGUAGCCGGCCUGAGAGGGUGACCGGCCACACUGGGACUGAGACACGGCCCAGACUCCUACGGGAGGCCGCCGUGGGGCCUGUUGGCCCCUGGGCGGCCGCCUGCUCCAGCAACGCCGCGUGAGGGAUGACGGCCUUCGGGUUGUAAACCUCUUUCAGUACCGCCGCCGCGCCGCUGCUGGUGGUGCCGGUCGGUCCCGCCGCCGCCCCGGCCCCCUACGUG